rnacentral:rRNA from 1 species
UUGACCUCGGAUCAGGUAGGAAUACCCGCUGAACUUAAGCAUAUCAAUAAGCGGAGGANAAGAAACCAACAGGGAUUGCCCCAGUAACGGCGAGUGAAGCGGCAACAGCUCAAAUUUGAAAUCUGGCCCCUCGGGGUCCGAGUUGUAAUUUGUAGAGGAUGCUUUUGGUGAGGUGCCGCCCGAGNUCCCUGGAACGGGACGCCACAGAGGGUGAGAGCCCCGUCUGGCUGGCCACCGAGCCUCUGUAAAGCUCCUUCGACCAGUCGAGUAUUUUGGGGAUGCUGCUCAAAU